ACUUUUCAAAAUGCUUUCAACAAUUAGGUCUAGGUUCCAUGGUUUUUCUUUUCUUUGAAGUAUCAACAUCAACUUCAACCUCAUUGGGAGAUGAGGUGUAAGGUAUGCUCUCAUUUGAAGCUCCACUUUCACUUCCCUUACUUCCAGUUUGUGCCAUGAGUGAUGAAAACGAGAGAUGAGAGUUGAGAGAUGAAUAAGAGUGGUGGCUAUGGGCCUGUGGCACGCCGGCGGGCGGCGACCGACGACUGGCGAGUGCUGGUGGCGGCGGAGACAACUGGCGGCGUGACGGACGGACGACGGUCGACGAUAGAGGGUAGGUCGGUGGCGG
rnacentral:misc_RNA from 1 species